rnacentral:rRNA from 1 species
GUAGUCAUAUGCUUGUCUCAAAGAUUAAGCCAUGCAUGUCUAAGUAUAAGCAAUUAUACCGUGAAACUGCGAAUGGCUCAUUAAAUCAGUUAUCGUUUAUUUGAUAGUACCUUACUACUUGGAUAACCGUGGUAAUUCUAGAGCUAAUACAUGUUGAAAACCCCAACUUCGGAAGGGGUGUAUUUAUUAGAUAAAAAACCAAUGCCCUUCGGGGCUCCUUGGUGAUUCAUAAUAACUUCUCAGAUCGCAUGGCCUUGCGCCGGCGACGGUUCAUUCAAAUUUCUGCCCUAUCAACUUUCGAUGGUAAGGUAUUGGCUUACCAUGGUUUCAACGGGUAACGGGGAAUUAGGGUUCGAUUCCGGAGAGGGAGCCUGAGAAACGGCUACCACAUCCAAGGAAGGCAGCAGGCGCGCAAAUUACCCAAUCCCGACACGGGGAGGUAGUGACAAUAAAUACUGAUACAGGGCUCUUCUGGGUCUUGUAAUUGGAAUGAGUACAAUUUAAACCUCUUAACGAGGAACAAUUGGAGGGCAAGUCUGGUGCCAGCAGCC